AGAGUUGAUCCUGGCUCAGAACGAACGCUGGUGGCGUGUCUAUACAUGCAAGUCGAGCGAGGCAGCAAUGCCGAGCGGCGAACGGGUGAGUAACGCGUAAGCAAUCUGCCCCACUAUCAGGAAAUACCCGUGCCAACGCGCGGUUAAUGUCCAGGAGAGUGGCCCCUUGCAUGAGGGGUUGACUAGAGAUUUAUCGGUAUGGGAUGAGCUUGCGUCCGAUUAGCUAGUUGGCGGGGCAACGACCCACCAAGGCGACGAUCGGUAGCCGGCCUGAGAGGGUGAUCGGCCACAUUGGGACUGAGAUACGGCCCAGACUCCUACGGGAGGCAGCAGUAGGGAAUAUUGCACAAUGGGGGAAACCCUGAUGCAGCAACGCCACGUGUGGGAAGAAGCAUUUCGGUGUGUAAACCACUGUCAUGAGGGAAUAAGGCCCGCCUUCGGACGGGAUUGAAUGUACCUUGAGAGGAAGCACCGGCAAACUUCGUGCCAGCCGCCGC
rnacentral:rRNA from 1 species